rnacentral:rRNA from 1 species
AGCGAACGCUGGCGGCAGGCCUAACACAUGCAAGUCGAACGGAUCCUUCGGGAUUAGUGGCGGACGGGUGAGUAACACGUGGGAACGUGCCCUUUGGUUCGGAACAACUCAGGGAAACUUGAGCUAAUACCGGAUGUGCCCUUCGGGGGAAAGAUUUAUCGCCAUUGGAGCGGCCCGCGUCUGAUUAGCUAGUUGGUGAGGUAACGGCCCACCAAGGCGACGAUCAGUAGCUGGUCUGAGAGGAUGAUCAGCCACACUGGGACUGAGACACGGCCCAGACUCCUACGGGAGGCAGCAGUGGGGGAUCUUGCGCAAUGGGCGAAAGCCUGACGCAGCCAUGCCGCGUGAAUGAUGAAGGUCUUAGGAUUGUAAAAUUCUUUCAGCGGGGACGAUAAUGACGGUACCCGCAGAAGAAGCUCCGGCUAACUUCGUG